ACCUACGGGGCGCAGCAGUAGGGAAUCUUCCACAAUGGGCGAAAGCCUGAUGGAGCAACGCCGCGUGGGUGAAGAAGGUCUUCGGAUCGUAAAACCUUGUUGUUAGAGAAGAAAGUGCGUGAGAGUAACUGUUCACGUUUCGACGGUAUCUAACCAGAAAGCCACGGCUAACUACGUGCCAGCAGCCGCGGUAAUACGUAGGUGGCAAGCGUUAUCCGGAUUUAUUGGGCGUAAAGGGAACGAAGGCGGUCUUUUAAGUCUGAUGUGAAAGCCUUCGGCUUAACCGGAGUAGUGCAUUGGAAACU
rnacentral:rRNA from 1 species